UGGGGAAUCUUAGACAAUGGGGGAAACCCUGAUCUAGCCAUGCCGCGUGAGCGAUGAAGGCCUUAGGGUUGUAAAGCUCUUUCAGCUGGGAAGAUAAUGACGGUACCAGCAGAAGAAGCCCCGGCUAACUCCGUGCCAGCAGCCGCGGUAAUACGGAGGGGGCUAGCGUUGUUCGGAAUUACUGGGCGUAAAGCGCACGUAGGCGGAUUAGUCAGUCAGAGGUGAAAUCCCAGGGCUCAACCCUGGAACUGCCUUUGAUACUGCUAGUCUUGAGGUCGAGAGAGGUGAGUGGAAUUCCGAGUGUAGAGGUGAAAUUCGUAGAUAUUCGGAGGAACACCAGUGGCGAAGGCGGCUCACUGGCUCGAUACUGACGCUGAGGUGCGAAAGCGUGGGGAGCAAAACAGGAUUAGAUACCCUGGUAGUCCACGCCGUAAAACGAUGAAUGCCAGUCGUCGGGUUGCAUGCAAUUCGGUGACACACCUAACGGAUUAAGCAUUCCGCCUGGGGAGUACGGUCGC
rnacentral:rRNA from 1 species